rnacentral:rRNA from 1 species
AUGUGUGAGGGUUUCUUGGGCUGUCGACCGCACUGGGGCUUGUUCAAACGUAUCUUCACGUGUCGCUCUCAGACCGUGAAGAAGGCGAGUCCUGGUGACGAGAAGACUCGAGUCGUCCAAAUGUGUGGGGGCCUGGGGAUUCAGGUGAGGAACAAUAGCACCUUCCCGCCCAUGUCUUUUCCCGAGUCCGUCAGAGGCUGGCAGUCGACUUGGUUCUACUGCCAGGUCCAGUCGACGCCAGGGCAGUCGAGUGGACUCCCUCCGUUUACCAUGGACCGAGUGAGCAAGCCCUCCCCUUUGAAGCUGAUUCCGGAGGAGAAAGCCGACGUGAAGAUGUUGAUGGAGCGAGUGGUGCAGCUGGUUCGGGACGGAGUGACAGGCAUGGACCUCUUGGAGGUUUUCCUCAAGCGCCGCAUCCAACCUCUCCAGUUCCGGAGCCACUGCAUGUGGUUGUACUGUGGGCCCGCGGACGAGACCAGAGUCCAUCCAGAAGAAGUCGACGAUGUCACUCUGGAAAGGUGGAUGGUAGCCGUUACCGGAAACAGGGACAACCCGCGCGGAGCCAGAAGGAUUCCUCCACUCGACCACGACAGCGUCCCAAACAAGGUACGCUUGCUCUGCUUUCCAUCAUGUCUUUGUUGUAUUCAUUUCUGCUAA